UACGUAGGCAGCGAGCGUUGUUCGGAGUUACUGGGCGUAAAGAGUGCGUAGGCGGUUUUCUAAGUUUGGUGUGAAAUCUCCCGGCUCAACUGGGAGGGUGCGCCGAAGACUGGAAGGCUUGAGUAUGGGAGAGGUAAGCGGAAUUCCUGGUGUAGCGGUGAAAUGCGUAGAUAUCUGGAGGAACACCGGUGGCGAAGGCGGCAUCCCUGGACCAACACUGACGCUGAGUGAGCGAAAAGCCAGGGGGAGCAAACGGGG
rnacentral:rRNA from 1 species